UACGAAGGGGGCUAGCGUUGUUCGGAAUCACUGGGCGUAAAGCGCACGUAGGCGGAUCUUUAAGUCAGGGGUGAAAUCCCGAGGCUCGACCUCGGAACUGCCUUUGAUACUGGGGAUCUCGAGUCCGGGAGAGGUGAGUGGAACUGCGAGUGUAGAGGUGAAAUUCGUAGAUAUUCGCAAGAACACCAGUGGCGAAGGCGGUUCUCUGGGACGGUACUGACGCUGAGACGCGAAAGCGUGGGGAUCAAACAGG
rnacentral:rRNA from 1 species